rnacentral:misc_RNA from 1 species
ACUGGGUCAAUGGUUGGCCGAAAAAGCUAUAAACGCUAUAGCGUUCUUUCCCCUCCUCUCGCUGAAAACCACCACGAAUAGGGGCUUUGGUGGUUAGGAUAGAAAGCCCAUGAGUUGUAGCAUCGAUCGUUGCUUGCAUUGUCACCGUUGGAUGUCAGAAUCUGUUGGAAUUGGGUAGAAAAGUUCUGGCAUCGCAUUUUCUCUCUCUUCACCAUACUUGCUGCUGCAACCAUUCAAAAUAGUAGCUAGUCUUCCCUUAGCAUUGGCGGAGUCGUCUAGACCUAUUAGGGCUCAUCGUAGGUCAUGGUGGUUUGUUGAAGGGAGAAGAGAAAGAAGGGGAAGAAAGGGAAG